CCUGAGAGGGUGACCGGCCACAUUGGGACUGAGACACGGCCCAAACUCCUACGGGAGGCAGCAGUGGGGAAUAUUGCACAAUGGGGGAAACCCUGAUGCAGCGACGCCGCGUGAGUGAAGAAGUAUUUCGGUAUGUAAAGCUCUAUCAGCAGGGAAGAAAAUGACGGUACCUGACUAAGAAGCCCCGGCUAACUACGUGCCAGCAGCCGCGGUAAUACGUAGGGGGCAAGCGUUAUCCGGAUUUACUGGGUGUAAAGGGAGCGUAGACGGUAAAGCAAGUCUGAAGUGAAAGCCCGGGGCUCAACCCCGGGACUGCUUUGGAAACUGUUUAACUAGAGUGCUGGAGAGGUAAGCGGAAUUCCUAGUGUAGCGGUGAAAUGCGUAGAUAUUAGGAGGA
rnacentral:rRNA from 1 species